rnacentral:ncRNA from 1 species
GUCCUAUAUAGAUGUAUCAACGCAAGACAGUUGAGCAUCUCCCUUUAGGAUAUUGUUUUAUCCAGAAGCUUCAGUGACAAUCUUUAUUGUGUGGCUCAAAGUCGAAAUAAGGUGAGUUGAAGUGGAAUAGGUUAUCCGUAAGACCUUGGGUUGAAAAACUCUAAAAUCAACCUAGAAAUGAAAUCCUUAAAAUUUUGUAUAUUCUAGUUACGGAGGG